rnacentral:misc_RNA from 1 species
AACAGCCGCGGUAAUUCCAGCUCCAAUAGCGUAUAUUAAAGUUGUUGCAGUUAAAAAGCUCGUAGUUGAAUUUCGGGGUUAGUAGGUUGGUCAUGCCUCUGGUAUGUACUGGUCUCACUGAUUCCUCCUUCCUGAUGAGCCGUAAUGCCAUUAAUUUGGUGUUGCGGGGAAUCUGGACUGUUACUUUGAAAAAAUUAGAGUGUUUAAAGCAAGCUAACGCUUGAAUACAUUAGCAUGGAAUAAUGAAAUAGGACGUUCGAUCCUAUUUUGUUGGUUUCUAGGAUUGACGUAAUGAUUAAUAGGGAUAGUUGGGGGCAUUAGUAUUCAAUUGUCAGAGGUGAAAUUCUUGGAUUUAUUGAAGACUAACUACUGCGAAAGCAUUUUGCCAAGGAUGUUUUCAUUAAUCAAGAACGAAAGUUAGGGGAUCGAAGACGAUCAGAUACCGUCGUAGUCUUAACCAUAAACUAUGCCGACUAGGGAUCGGAUGAUGUUAAUUUUUUAAUGACUCAUUCGGCGCCUU